rnacentral:rRNA from 1 species
UACGUAGGGUGCGAGCGUUGUCCGGAAUUACUGGGCGUAAAGGGCGUGUAGGCGGCCAGGUAGGUCUGGUGUGAAAACUCGAGGCUUAACCUCGAGAUGUCAUCGGAAACCAUCUGGCUAGAGUCCGGAAGAGGAGAGUGGAAUUCCUGGUGUAGCGGUGAAAUGCGCAGAUAUCAGGAAGAACACCAAUGGCGAAAGCAGCUCUCUGGGACGGUACUGACGCUGAGACGCGAAAGCGUGGGGAGCGAACAGG